rnacentral:rRNA from 1 species
CUACGGAGGGGACUAGCGUUGUUCGGAAUUACUGGGCGUAAAGAGUUCGUAGGCGGACUGAUAAGUAAGAGGUGAAAUCCCAGGGCUCAACCCUGGAACUGCCUUUUAAACUGUCAGUCUAGAGACCGGAAGAGGUUAGGGGAAUACCUAGUGUAGAGGUGAAAUUCGUAGAUAUUAGGUGGAACACCAGUGGCGAAGGCGCCUAACUGGUCCGGUACUGACGCUGAGGAACAAAAGCGUGGGGAGCAAACAGGAUUAGAAACCCUAGUAGUCC